CAGCAGCCGCGGUAAAACGAAGGGGGCUAGCGUUGCUCGGAAUGACUGGGCGUAAAGGGCGCGUAGGCGGCAUACACAGUCAGAUGUGAAAUUCCUGGGCUUAACCUGGGGGCUGCAUUUGAUACGUGUAGGCUAGAGUGGGGAAGAGGGUUGUGGAAUUCCCAGUGUAGAGGUGAAAUUCGUAGAUAUUGGGAAGAACACCGGUGGCGAAGGCGGCGACCUGGUCCUUGACUGACGCUGAGGCGCGAAAGCGUGGGGAGCAAACAGGAUUAGAUACCCGCGUAGUCCCUGUCUCUUAUAC
rnacentral:rRNA from 1 species